rnacentral:tRNA from 1 species
GAACCCGUGGCUCAAUAGUUAGAGCGUUGGACUUCCGAUCAAAGGGUCACAGGUUCG